UACGGGGGGGGGUAAGCGUUGUUCGGAAUUACUGGGCGUAAAGGGCUCGUAGGCGGCCAACUAAGUCAGACGUGAAAUCCCUCAGCUUAACUGGGGAACUGCGUCUGAUACUGGAUGGCUUGGAUUCGGGGAGAGGAAUGCGGAAUUCCAGGUGUAGCGGUGAAAUGCGUAGAUAUCAGGAGGAACACCGGUGGCGAAGGCGGGUCUCUGGGCCGAUACUGACGCUGAGGAGCGAAAGCGUGGGGAGCGAACAGG
rnacentral:rRNA from 1 species